rnacentral:rRNA from 1 species
GGCGGCAGGCUUAACACAUGCAAGUCGAGCGGUAACAGGGGAAGCUUGCUUCCUGCUGACGAGCGGCGGACGGGUGAGUAAUGCAUAGGAAUCUGCCCGGUAGUGGGGGAUAACCUGGGGAAACCCAGGCUAAUACCGCAUACGUCCUACGGGAGAAAGCGGGGGCUUCGUGUUCUUCGGAAUGGGGACCUCGCGCUAUCGGAUGAGCCUAUGUCGGAUUAGCUAGUUGGUGAGGUAACGGCCCACCAAGGCGACGAUCCGUAGCUGGUCUGAGAGGAUGAUCAGCCACAUCGGGACUGAGACACGGCCCGAACUCCUACGGGAGGCAGCAGUGGGGAAUAUUGGACAAUGGGCGCAAGCCUGAUCCAGCCAUGCCGCGUGUGUGAAGAAGGCUUUCGGGUUGUAAAGCACUUUCAGUGGGGAAGAAGGCCUGACGGCCAAUACCCGUCAGGAGCGACAUCACCCACAGAAGAAGCACCGGCUAACUCCGUGCCAGCAGCCGCGGUAAUACGGAGGGUGCGAGCGUUAAUCGGAAUGACUGGGCGUAAAGCGCGCGUAGGCGGCCAAAUCAGCCGGUUGUGAAAGCCCCGGGCUCAACCUGGGAACGGCAUCCGGAACUGUUUGGCUAGAGUGCAGGAGAGGAAGGUAGAAUUCCCGGUGUAGCGGUGAAAUGCGUAGAGAUCGGGAGGAAUACCAGUGGCGAAGGCGGCCUUCUGGACUGACACUGACGCUGAGGUGCGAAAGCGUGGGUAGCAAACAGGAUUAGAUACCCUGGUAGUCCACGCCGUAAACGAUGUCGACUAGCCGUUGGGUGCCUCGAGCACUUUGUGG